rnacentral:misc_RNA from 1 species
GGAAAUGGAAAGGUCUAUAAGGGUACAUUGGAAGGAGGAGUAGAAGUUGCUGUUAAGAGAAUCUCUCAUCAAAGUGAACGGGGAAUCAGAGAAUUCCUAUCUGAAGUUUCAAGCCUAGGAAGACUAAAGCAUAGGAACUUGGUAGGAAUAAGAGGUUGGUGUAAACAAGACAGAGAAAGCUUGAUUUUAUUGUAUGACUAUAUGGAGAAUGGGAGCUUGGACAAGAGGAUUUUUACUUCUAAGAAUUCUACUUUGAGUUGGGAAGAAAGGAUCAAGAUUUUGAAAGAUGCAGCUAAUGGGAUCUUGUAUUUGCACGAAGGAUGGGAAGCUAAAGUCUUGCACAGAGACAUUAAGGCGAGCAAUCUACUACUCGACAAAGAAAUGAAUGCAAGGUUAGGAGAUUUUGGUUUAGCCCGGAUGCACCAUCAUGGACAGUUGGCUAGAACAACACAAGUGGUUGGGACCGUAGGGUACAUGGCACCCGAAGUGGUUCGAACUGGACGAGCCUCAAUGCAGACCGAU